rnacentral:lncRNA from 1 species
AGCACACUGGAGCUCAAUCACUGCACAAGGAUUAGAGACUCAUACGUUCUAAGGCAUUAGUAAAAAUAUAUUCCAGGUGGAUUCUGUCUCUUAAAUGCGUCAUUAUUAUUAAGGCAGUAGAGUUUUUUGGCGUGCAAUCUCUUCCAAAGCAUUGACUCAUGGGAGGAAGAGGGAGCAGCUUUUCCUUUUGCUCAGCAUGCAAGCCUCUGAUAAACAGGGUCUGCUGGGAUGUUCUGUCCAAGGAGAUUGAUCAGAGGUGUCGGAGCGAGCUGUGCUCAACUGGGCCUGGCAGCAAAACUGGGAGAGGCUCACAAUGAGGGUGAAAGGGAGGAGGAAAACCAGACGUUCUGCUUUUAUCAUUGUAAUGCCAUAGGGCUUUAAACAGCAAAAUCUGUGCUGGUAGGAAAGCCCAUGCCUAAAUAUCAGUACCAGCUUGGAUGAUAAAUAUGGACUAAGAGAAGGCUCCUAAGUAGAGACUUAAACUGACUGGUAUCCUCCAGGUGUGUAAACCUACUUAAAUCCUGAAAUAAAAACAGUGUACUUCAAAACUAAAUGCAACUGAAGAACAACACAGUGCAAAUUUCAAGUCUGCUCCUUUUCUUUCAGACUUGAGAAGAUCUGAUGGGCCUAAAAGCUUUCUAGUCUAAGUUUUCUAGCUGUGCUGCUUUGUUUCAGGCAGGAUAUCUGUGUUAGAGUUCCUUGUUCUUGGGGCCACGAUAUGAGUAAUAUCAGCAUCAAAAGAUGGUACGUUACCAGUUGCAAGGAAUCUGGCUGGGUUCUUGUGCAGUUUUACUUCUUUUGCAAGUCUUGUGGCAGCCUGCUAUAGGAUGGGCUCCUCACUGAAGGUGUCUUUAAUGGAUGGGAACAGAGAUGUCCUCUGUCUGCAUGUUUGCUAUGUGUGCAGUUUUCCAGCAGGCUUAUUCUUAUCUGUUUCUGUGGCUCU